rnacentral:rRNA from 1 species
UACGUAGGGUGCAAGCGUUAAUCGGAAUUACUGGGCGUAAAGCGUGCGCAGGCGGUUUUGUAAGUCUGACGUGAAAUCCCCGGGCUCAACCUGGGAAUUGCGUUGGAGACUGCAAGGCUAGAAUCUGGCAGAGGGGGGGUAGAAUUCCACGUGUAGCAGUGAAAUGCGUAGAGAUGUGGAGGAACACCGAUGGCGAAGGCAGCCCCCCUGGGUCAAGAUUGACGCUCAUGCACGAAAGCGUGGGGAGCAAACAGG